rnacentral:rRNA from 1 species
GAUGAACGCUGGCGGCGCGCCUAACACAUGCAAGUCGAACGAGCGAGAGAGAGCUUGCUUUCUCGAGCGAGUGGCGAACGGGUGAGUAACGCGUGAGGAACCUGCCUCAAAGAGGGGGACAACAGUUGGAAACGACUGCUAAUACCGCAUAAGCCCACAGGUCGGCAUCGACCAGAGGGAAAAGGAGCAAUCCGCUUUGAGAUGGCCUCGCGUCCGAUUAGCUAGUUGGUGAGGUAACGGCCCACCAAGGCGACGAUCGGUAGCCGGACUGAGAGGUUGAACGGCCACAUUGGGACUGAGACACGGCCCAG